CAUAUAGUAUGACAGUCAUGUCAAACGUUUUCCUUUUUGCGACUGGAUGCCAAUGAGGUUGGAUUCAGCAAACUGGGCUAGUACAUCUGUCUCCUAAGACCUACAUUCCUAUAAAGAUUUUCAGAAAAAAGGAGGACCAUCCAGGAUUAAAGCUUUAACAUUUUACAUAAUCCGCUGUCGAAUUUAAAGGAGAGUGAUGAGGUGGACAGAGGCUUUAAGAAUUGUGGUUAUAUUGGUUACGCUAAUUGCUACAUGGUACUUUGCUGAAUUUGUGUUUGCCAAAAAAUGGAAGAUGAACAAUCUUU